UGCCAGGCGCUUUCUGAUCUGUCAUCAAACAGUUCCUGACUGGGUACAUCUCUGAGAGUUGAACCAGAGGCCAGUCGGCUGGCCACCUGAGCUCCCCAAGUCCGGAGGAUGGACGGACCUUGUGUUUCCACCGGGAUGGCUUCUGCACCGUCAGCCGGGAAAUGAGGACUGAGCCGGGAGCGGUUCUCAAGUUGCAGGCCCCCUGCAGCCCUGUAAAUAGGUUGUAUAAUGGCUGUCUUGGGGCAGAAGCGAGGGCCCCAGUACCCACCUCUUGCUGGUCACCCCCACCCAUAUCCACGCAGGCCUCUGGCUGGCCUGGUUGCGGCCGGAGCCCGGAGGCUGAGCCCUGUCACCCAGGACUCACAGGCUUAGUGAGGCGUGUCAACAGCAACUGCCAGCUGCAUCCGCUACACCAGGAGGAGCGGGAGGAGGGGGGGAUGCCCUGUGUGCUGACAUGGGGGACAGGGAGACAUCAGCAAGGCCCACGGUCCUGUGGAGUUUGAAGAGCAACAUGCUGGCAGGAGGACACGUUCGGGGAUGUGCUGAGCCCAGAACAAAGGACACUAGGCCUUCGUCCAAGUGGCCGGGGCCUCCACUUCUUCAUGUGCUUGCAGGGAGAGGUCUGUCCCCAGACAGAGUGGGCCAAGCAGCAGGCAGGACUCUGCACACCCGGAGGGCUGAGGCUGGACUUCGGUGGGACUGCGGGCGUGACAGGGAGUGGGGACGGGGCUCUGACCUGGGGUCGGCCACAUUAGCCUCCCACCGUGCCAAGAGGCAUGCCUGACUGUCCACAAGGCUGGCAGGAGACAGGGUUUCCCAGCAGCUCGGAGCCCCAGGAGCAGAGCCAGCUGCACACCUGGCAGCAGCCCGGGGCCCAGGGCAGUGAUCCCGCCUCCCUGUGAGCUGCACCCAGUGCGGUGUGUCCUCUGCGGGCCGGGCUUCAGGGGAUGAACCUGGCCCACUCUGUCUGUGCAUCCCACCAGGGUCCCCAGGGUGACAAACUGCCCCUGUGGGUCUCUCUUGGGGCUGCGGCUGGAGUCCUGAGGAGUUGAGACUCAUUUUUAGGAACAACAGUCCCUCAUGACUAUGUAUUCAUAACACGAAUUUGAAGCUUAAGGACA
rnacentral:lncRNA from 1 species